rnacentral:rRNA from 1 species
AACGAACGCUGGCGGCAGGCUUAACACAUGCAAGUCGAGCGAAGACUUCGGUCUUAGCGGCGGACGGGUGAGUAACGCGUGGGAACGUGCCCUUUCUUUCGGAAUAGCCCAUGGAAACGUGGAUUAAUGCCGGAUACGCCCUUCGGGGGAAAGAUUUAUCGGGGAAGGAUCGGCCCGCGUUGGAUUAGGUAGUUGGUGGGGUAACGGCCUACCAAGCCGACGAUCCAUAGCUGGUUUGAGAGGAUGAUCAGCCACACUGGGACUGAGACACGGCCCAGACUCCUACGGGAGGCAGCAGUGGGGAAUCUUGGACAAUGGGGGCAACCCUGAUCCAGCCAUGCCGCGUGAACGAUGAAGGCCCUAGGGUUGUAAAGUUCUUUCAGCGGGGAAGAUAAUGACGGUACCCGCAGAAGAAGCCCCGGCUAACUCCGUGC